rnacentral:rRNA from 1 species
CCCCUACUUGUUAGUUGCCAUCAUUCAGUUGGGCACUCUAGCGAGACUGCCGGUAAUAAACCGGAGGAAGGUGGGGAUGACGUCAAAUCAUCAUGCCCCUUAUGACCUGGGCUACACACGUGCUACAAUGGUUGGUACAACGAGUUGCGAGUCGGUGACGGCGAGCUAAUCUCUUAAAGCCAAUCUCAGUUCGGAUUGUAGGCUGCAACUCGCCUACAUGAAGUCGGAAUCGCUAGUAAUCGCGGAUCAGCACGCCGCGGUCGAAUACGUUCCCGGGCCUU